rnacentral:rRNA from 1 species
GAUGAACGCUGGCGGCGUGCCUAAUACAUGCAAGUCGAGCGAACAGACGAGGAGCUUGCUCCUCUGACGUUAGCGGCGGACGGGUGAGUAACACGUGGAUAACCUACCUAUAAGACUGGGAUAACUUCGGGAAACCGGAGCUAAUACCGGAUAAUAUAUUGAACCGCAUGGUUCAAUAGUGAAAGACGGUUUUGCUGUCACUUAUAGAUGGAUCCGCGCCGCAUUAGCUAGUUGGUAAGGUAACGGCUUACCAAGGCAACGAUGCGUAGCCGACCUGAGAGGGUGAUGGCCCACAGGGGAAAUGAGACACGGCCAAGACCCCAGGGGGAGGCAGCAGAGGGGAAUCUUCCGGAAUGGGGAAAGGCCGGACGGAGCACCGCGGCGGGAGUGAGAAAGGUUUUCGGAUCGAAAAACUCUUUUAUGGGGAAAAAAAAAAUGUGAAAGUAACUAUGCACGUCUGGAGGUUACCUAAUAAGAAAGCCACGGCAAACUACGUG